rnacentral:rRNA from 1 species
UAGCUGGUCUGAGAGGAUGGCCAGCCACACUGGAACUGAGACACGGUCCAGACUCCUACGGGAGGCAGCAGUGGGGAAUAUUGGACAAUGGGGGAAACCCUGAUCCAGCAAUGCCGCGUGUGUGAAGAAGGCCUGAGGGUUGUAAAGCACUUUCAGUGGGGAGGAGGGUUGAUAGGUUAAGAGCUARUUAAYUGGACGUUACCCACAGAAGAAGCACCGGCUAACUCCGUGCCAGCAGCCGCGGUAAUACGGAGGGUGCGAGCGUUAAUCGGAAUUACUGGGCGUAAAGGGUGCGUAGGUGGUUUAUUAAGUUAUCUGUGAAAUCCCUGGGCUUAACCUGGGCAGGUCAGAUAAGACUGGUAGACUCGAGUAUGG